UACGUAGGGUGCGAGCGUUGUCCGGAAUUAUUGGGCGUAAAGGGCUCGUAGGCGGUUUGUCGCGUCGGGGAGUGAAAACCCAGGGCUUAACCCUGGGCUGGCUUCCGAUACGGGCAGACUAGAGGUAUGCAGGGGAGAACGGAAUUCCUGGUGUAGCGGUGAAAUGCGCAGAUAUCAGGAGGAACACCGGUGGCGAAGGCGGUUCUCUGGGCAUUACCUGACGCUGAGGAGCGAAAGCGGUGGGGAGCGAACAGG
rnacentral:rRNA from 1 species